GCCCGCGAUGAUGUAAGCUGGCCUGUCCCUGGGUAAACUCCCAAGGAUCAGGUGGAGAUUGAAUCCCGAUCCUUGGGUUUCUGCUCUCGGGCAAGGUCAGCAGUGCCCGCGAAGGGCC
rnacentral:pre_miRNA from 1 species